CGUUCAGUGAAUGCUCCAUUUGCUUGAGAGUACUUGAUAUUUUUUGAUGUUGCAUUGUUACAAAGUAAAGAUUCUAAUUAACUGUUCUCAUAUUUAUAAUAAAGUUGAGAGUAUUUUCUGCAGAUGGAUGACCCUUAGCUCUCUGUUUCCUUGAGUAAAAAUGGAAAUAAUGACAUCUCAGAGGAUUUGUGAAAUUGAAGUGUUAACUCCAAACUCGAGAGGUAGCAGGAAACAUGGAAAGAAAUUCAAACCAUUUGUGAUGACUGGAUUUGCUACCAACAGGCUGAAUGAUGGUAGCCCAAUGACAGCUCAUAAAUGAGAAAACACUGGGAAAUUGCCAGAGCAUCAGAUGCAGAACAACGUGCAGAAUAAAAGAAGCUUGGAGCAAAAGAGAAAGAGUACAAGAGAGAAAAAAGAAAAGAAAAAGAAAAGCAAUGAAUGGAAAGUAUA